CAGCAGCCGCGGGAAUACGGAGGGUGCAAGCGUUGUUCGGAAUUACUGGGCGUAAAGCGCGCGUAGGCGGUGAGUAAAGUCAGAGGUGAAAUCCCCGGGCUCAACCUGGGAACUGCAUUUGAUACUAGGUCGCUAGAGUGUGGCAGAGGAUAGUGGAAUUCCAGGUGUAGAGGUGAAAUGCGUAGAUAUUGGGAAGAACAUCAGUGGCGAAGGCGGCCAUCUGGGACAGCACUGACGCUGAGGCGCGAAAGCGUGGGGAGCAAACAGGAUUAGAUACCCCCGUAGUCCCUGUCUCUUAUAC
rnacentral:rRNA from 1 species